rnacentral:tRNA from 1 species
GGGUUUGUAGCUCAGCAGUAGAGUGCUCACCUAACAAGUGUGAGGCCCAGAGUUCAACACUCAGCACCA